GUCUUACCAAGCUGUUAAUAAUGAAGAAAUGCUCAUUAUUAAUAGCACAAUAUAAAGUAAAUGGCACUGAAUGUUAUGUUGGGGGCAGAGAAUGACACUGACAGCUUUUUCUUUAUUGUCUGCAGAGGAGAAGAAAGUAAAGAGCACUAAAGUGGAAGCAAAAGUCAAAAAGGAAGUGAAGGAUGGAAAAGGAGAAGCAAAGACGGCAGAGAAGGUCAAGCAGGCAGAGACAAAAACAACAGAAACUGGGCUAAUAAAGGCCAAAACGAAAGUUAAGGAGGAGAAAGCUCUUCAGACUGUAACUAAAUCGGACAAGAAAGGUGCAGCACAUAAGGAAUUUGCACCACCUCGUCUUCUUCUAGAACACAGUCCAAGAAAGAAACCAGCAGCUAUUGAAGGCAAGUUUGAGUUUUCCCACCUUUAUUGGCUUCUACUUAUUAACUUGACUGUU
rnacentral:lncRNA from 1 species